rnacentral:rRNA from 1 species
GACGAACCGUCCAAACGUUAUUCGGAAUUACUGGGCUUAAAGGGUGCGUAGGCGGCGCGGAAAGUUGGGUGUGAAAUCCCUCGGCUUAACCGGGGAACUGCGUCUGAUACUGGAUGGCUUGAGUUCGGGAGAGGGAUGCGGAAUUCCAGGUGUAGCGGUGAAAUGCGUAGAUAUCUGGAGGAACACCGAUGGCGAAGGCAGCCCCCUGGGCCAAUACUGACGCUCAGGCACGAAAGCGUGGGGAGCAAACAGG